rnacentral:rRNA from 1 species
AGAGUUUGAUCCUGGCUCAGGAUGAACGCUGGCGGCGUGCCUAAUACAUGCAAGUCGAACGAAACUUCUUUAUCACCGAGUGCUUGCACUCACCGAUAAAGAGUUGAGUGGCGAACGGGUGAGUAACACGUGGGCAACCUGCCCAAAAGAGGGGGAUAACACUUGGAAACAGGUGCUAAUACCGCAUAACCAUAGUUACCGCAUGGUAACUAUGUAAAAGGUGGCUAUGCUACCGCUUUUGGAUGGGCCCGCGGCGCAUUAGCUAGUUGGUGGGGUAAAGGCUUACCAAGGCAAUGAUGCGUAGCCGAACUGAGAGGUUGAUCGGCCACAUUGGGACUGAGACACGGCCCAAACUCCUACGGGAGGCAGCAGUAGGGAAUCUUCCACAAUGGGCGAAAGCCUGAUGGAGCAACGCCGCGUGGGUGAAGAAGGUCUUCGGAUCGUAAAACCCUGUUGUUAGAGAAGAAAGUGCGUGAGAGUAACUGUUCACGUUUCGACGGUAUCUAACCAGAAAGCCACGGCUAACUACGUGCCAGCAGCCGCGGUAAUACGUAGGUGGCAAGCGUUAUCCGGAUUUAUUGGGCGUAAAGGGAACGCAGGCGGUCUUUUAAGUCUGAUGUGAAAGCCUUCGGCUUAACCGGAGUAGUGCAUUGGAAACUGGGAGACUUGAGUGCAGAAGAGGAGAGUGGAACUCCAUGUGUAGCGGUGAAAUGCGUAGAUAUAUGGAAGAACACCAGUGGCGAAAGCGGCUCUCUGGUCUGUAACUGACGCUGAGGUUCGAAAGCGUGGGUAGCAAACAGGAUUAGAUACCCUGGUAGUCCACGCCGUAAACGAUGAAUGCUAAGUGUUGGAGGGUUUCCGCCCUUCAGUGCUGCAGCUAACGCAAUAAGCAUUCCGCCUGGGGAGUACGACCGCAAGGUUGAAACUCAAAGGAAUUGACGGGGGCCCGCACAAGCGGUGGAGCAUGUGGUUUAAUUCGAAGCAACGCGAAGAACCUUACCAGGUCUUGACAUCUUUUGACAAUCCUAGAGAUAGGACUUUCCCUUCGGGGACAAAAUGACAGGUGGUGCAUGGUUGUCGUCAGCUCGUGUCGUGAGAUGUUGGGUUAAGUCC